GUUUCUGUUAGACUUCAAGGCGUGAAAGAGAACUGAACUUAAAAGCUGUGCUAAAUAGAGAAUUCACCGUUUAGCCUAGCGGUAAAGCACUUCAAUAUCACAACUUCCUCUGAUCUGGAUGGGGUAUCUGGUCUGCGCUGUAGGAGCUUGCUGGGGAUAGGUGUGAGCAAACACUGCGAGACUAGAUUUUCCCAUUCGCUCUCGCUCACCGUCUGUACGACUGACCUAGUCGAUCACCAAGAGACCGUGUGGUUUGAACUUUGAAGAGAGCAAAGAAGCCCAAUGGUAGGGAGCUCUCUGGAAAGACCGGC
rnacentral:sRNA from 1 species